AGUUGCAAGUAAACUACUUCUGUUCUGCAGGCAGCAGGGAUGCUGGAGAGUGACUUUAGUAAGAGUGUUAAGAGUCUUUGGUGGCACCAGCAGCCCAAAUGACCUGCUGCCCUCACUGUCCACCCUACUCACACUUCCAGUGUGGUUGUCAGUCCAGACUUGACUCAAGAAUCAGUGUACAAAGGACUUAGACCAUGGAAAAUAAAGGGGAACAUUCAGAUUGAGGAAAAAGAAUUCAACUUUAAUAGAACAUUUCUGAGAUUUAUGCUGCCUUCCAGAAACAGGAAGAAUUGAUAUUUCACUCCACUGAAUUUUCAAAUUCAGUUUACACCUCUUUUGGAGUAUCUUCAAUUUUGUAUUAUUAUUAUGUAUUUAUCUGCUUGAGUCUUCCUUUAAACCUGUGAACAAAUUGAGAUGAUAGUGGGUCAAGUGACUUGUCCAUGCUUCUAUAAUGACUCAACAGAGGAGGGAGAAUUGAAGUCACACAGCCCUGGGCUCCAGAGCUCACACUUUUAUCCAUUGCAUUAUAGUUGUAGAAUGAUAGAGUUGGACAGACAUGGAUUUAAAUAAAAAAAUCUACAAACUCCUGUUUAAAUGUGAAAAUCAGUUAAUUUCUAUUAUUUUGUUUUGAUAACAUUGGUGAAAAUAAUAUAGAUAUCUUUCCCUUGCUUUUAUUUCUUUCACUCAAAUUUAAGUGGCAUCUGUAGUAAUUUUAAAGGCCAGUAUAGUGACAACUUAUUCCCCCAGUUUAUCAUUCUCAUAAAAAACAAGAAAUAUAUACUGUGCAGGGAUAGAAAAAAUGAAGUGACACAUUUGAAAAUGUUUUAAGGAUGAAAAAUGUAAUACAUUCUAAUCAAACUAAAUUAUAUAAAUGUUAGUAAGUAGAUUUUAUUUUUAAAUGUGUGUCGCAAAAUAUAGCAUUAACGAACAUUACAAGAAAACAUCACACAACAAACAUUAGUUCCGCUUCCUAUGGAGUCCUAAGAACCACAGGUAAAGAAAUCUUUAGUACCAUGAAACCCACUAGAACUACCAGUUAGGUGUCACCUACUAGUUAAUUUUUUGCUAGGUAGAGAAGAUUAUGUAUUCCAUGAGCAGUUAGGUUUCGGAAUUGAUGUUGAUCAAUUUUAGUUGAGAUUGUAUUUGCCCCUUUUAGGUAUUCCUAUUUGAAUGCUUGAAAGAAAUAGGUUUUCCUUAAAUAUUCCUUAUCUGCAAUAAUAUCCUUGAUUGAAAUUAAUGUGACUUCUGUGUGUUUAUCAUUUUAUCAAACCCUUCAAUUAUGGUUUGGAAAUUUCCCAAGGAAUUUUAGAAAGCAACUUGGAUGUGUUUAACUGAGAAAGUCUCUUUUAGUAUUUUGGUGAAGUUAAAACAUAAAAUUCUUUGUGUUGACAACUAGUGAAGAAUGAUUUGCUUGUCAUUUGAAAUGGUUGAGCUAUAAAGUACUGACAUGUGAAACUUACAACAGAAAUUCAGAAUGACCUUACCCUCAAAUGAUAAAAAUGGAAACUUUGUAAUAAAUUUCUCCAAAAUAAUACCUUAACAAUGUACUUUAGUGUUCAGCUCUAUAGAGUUUUUGGUAAUACACUGGAUUAAAUCAAGUUAACUAUCAGAGACUCCUAAAAUGACUCAGUAUCACCUUCUCCCAGCUAGAGGAAGGUUAAACAGAGCCAGAUGGAUACCCCAUACCAGAUGAAACAGAGAAAAAUUAUGUUUCCUGCUUUUGUCAUCUUUGAACCCAGUCUCCUUGUACCUUAUUUCUAUUCCUAUUUCUUUUUCCUUCACAAUCUCAGGACAGCCCUAUUCUUAUUCCUCACUUCUGCAGUGCUUUAGUAGAUAUGAUCUUCAUUAAAAAAUGCAUCACUAUUGCAAUAACUAAGUGAUUUAUAUUCCAUCUCAUAUUUUCUAAUAUAUUAGAUAAUAUAGUAUUAGUUUACUUUUUCUAAGGCACAGUCAUUUUCCUCAAAAUAUCUUCCAUGCACAAAAUUAUUCAAUGCCUCCAUAAAGAAAAUACCCUUUAAUGUAUUAUUCAAUAAAUGUUAAGCACCUCUAUGUAUUAAAAAAAAUUGGGUAGGCAAUGAACAGUGAGAAAAAUAAACAUAAUCCCUAUCCUCAUGGAUUAUAUUCUAGGAGAUGUACAAGAGAUAGUAAGGGACGGACAUGAAUUAAACAAAAACAGAGUAAUUUAAAAUUAUAUCUAAUGUUAUAAAGGAAAGCAAUGUUUGUAUGCAGAGUAAUAGGUGUCCUACUUUAUAUGAGAUAGUCAAAGAAGACCUCUUUGAGAAGAUGACUUCUACACUGAGAACUGAGUGAUAAGAGUGAGCUAUGAAUCUACCAAAUGAAAGCAGUUGAAAAAGAGUAUUUGCACAGACCUUUGUGAUAAAAAGACUUUUGAAAGGGUUUGUCACAUUUAGGAAACCGAAAGAAAAACAGUGUUGCUGGAGCAUGGAUAGCAAAGGAGAAGUGAAAUUGAAAUGAGGUUGUACAUACAGUCUUCCUGAAAAUGCAGAAAAUGUAGGCCCACUUUGUAGAAUAUUUAAGUUUUAUAUUAUAUUCUAACCAUAAUUUAAGUGACAUCUCUUUAAUAUGAAAUGUUCACAACUACGUUUUAUGCCUUUUUACUCCCCUACUUUCUAUGUAAUAUGGUCUGCUUUCUAUUCCUCAAUAUGGUUUGUGCUUUUUCUUCUCUAAAAUGUUGCUGAAGUGGUUUCCUCUACUUAUUCUAACUCUGUGACCUUAAUUCUAUCUACUUGUGGCUAUGUUAUACAAAUCCAGGGGCAAAUUUUACUUCCACUGUAAAGAGUAUCUAAACAUUCUAACCAGAGCGUGUGUGUGUGUGUGUGUGUGUGUGUGUGUGUGAGAGAGAGAGAGA